CAACAGAAAUGCUGAACUGUGAACAGAGAAAUGAUUGUUUUCUCUCGUCAACUACUAGGAGUUUGUCACUGAACUGAGUAAGGAUGGAGAGUCCUGGAUUGGUCUAUGGUAUGAAUGGAGACAAUCAGGAUCCAAAUGGGAAUGGGUGGACGGAUCACCGCUGACAGAAACGUUCUGGGCAGCAGGACUGCCUCACUAUGAUGGUUACUAUGCUACAUGCUGCAAUCAACAAGGAAAAUGGACACAAGGAUAUUAUUCUGAUAAUAAGAAGUGGAUCUGUGAGAAAAAGAUGAUCUGAACUCUUUGAUGACAGAGAGGUGUGUAGUGUUGAGAUCAACUUUGUUAAAUCAGACCAAUUCUUUAACAUUUGCUCAGCUGUUUAUUCUGUGUUGCUAAAUAACCUGGAUUACAGAGAUAUUGUUCCUCUGCCCUUCAUAGAGCACAAUCUGGUUAGAAGUCAUGUGUACUUACUCUGUAGUCCUACAGGAUUAUUAUAAUAAAAGCUAAUAAAAACAUGGAUUAGCAGGUUGUCUUUACUUUGGUUUAUGUAGUUGAUUAUAACGUUUGUAAUCAGUUAGUUAGAAGUUUUUCCUUAGAACAUUUUACACUCCACACAAAAUAAAACCCCGCCCUACCUCCAUCUCCCCUCCCAAACUCGUCCCCACAACCA